rnacentral:rRNA from 1 species
UACGGAGGAUGCAAGCGUUAUCCGGAAUGAUUGGGCGUAAAGCGUCCGCAGGUGGCUGUGUAAGUCUGCUGUCAAAGAGCAAAGCUCAACUUUGUAAAGGCAGUGGAAACUACACGGCUAGAGUGCGUUCGGGGCAGAGGGAAUUUCUGGUGUAGCGGUGAAAUGCGUAGAGAUCAGGAAGAACACCGGUGGCGAAGGCGCUCUGCUAGGCCGCAACUGACACUGAAGGACGAAAGCUAGGGGAGCGAAUGGG